rnacentral:misc_RNA from 1 species
UUCAUUGAUGUGCCGGCCGGCCGGUUAGUCACUCAAAUGGGUCAGUCUAGUGAUCGACAAUAACACGCGCGAUAUUACGAACUAUUUCGAGUUAAAAUAUAACGACUAUGACAGUUGGCUAUGUUGUUUUGACAAGCGGUGCAGUUGUAGAGCACAAAGAUUUAUACAGUAGAGUAUUUUCUUUUGAAUUGUGAUGCUGUUAAUUGUUGUGUAGUGCUUAAAAGUGCAAUGGUGUGGUGAAAUGCUUGUGGGGGAGCAGUCGCCGGCACCGCGGGUGGUGGCCGGAUUAAGAAAACUCCGCCCUGAAUUGACUCCAGGACCAAUACCAACUCUAAUAGACCCUAACAUAAGGAUAUCAGGUGCACUCCGUCAGUAUUACAACGAUGAUCUCGAGUCGUGGGUGUGGGUGCAAGUGGCCGUCCAAGGCGGGUGCUUGCUGGCGUGGCGAGACGGCACCCUGCCGAGGAGGCAGGCGGCGAGGCUGCCCCUACGUCACCUACAUCUUCGGACAGCGCCGAUGCUUCCCAACGCGUUCCAACUGUCGAGACUCCGUGACGACAUUGCCGUUGCCACAUUUCAGGCUUGCAAUGCGGCUGAAUACACGAGAUGGGUACGCGCGUUGUGCGUCGAGAUCUUAGGCCAGACGCCACUACCACAAGUUCGAUUUCUGGACGUGUUACCAGCGGCUGAUACCGCUAAUCGAGAACCAAAGAAAGAGGCCCCCCAAGAGGAGACGCCGUCAUGCCCUCCCAAACCCCCUCCGCGAGCCCGUCGGAGGUUACUAACAUCGACAGAGACUCAGUUAACGCGGAGGGAUCAUUCACCGGCCGCCACGGACGAAGGCAUCGUCGUAGAAGACGACGACUACGACUCUUCGUCCGAUCGCAGCCUCGACCUGACCCUUUCCCUUGACGCCUUAAAGACUACCGACGUGGUCGACGCGCCGGAUCGGAAAACCAAGGUCGUCAUCAAAUGUGACAGCUGUAGCAAACUGAACGCUGGCUCGGCGGUGUCGCAGCAGCACCACACUCUGCCGCGAGCCGCGAGAUCUGAGUCUGAGCAAGGUCGGCGUUACUUGAAGCGAUGGGAGGGUACGGCCGGCGGCGCGGAGCGGGGUCGUCACGCGAUCGAAGCGGCGAGACGGAAGACUGCGUCGUUGGAGACUAGAGCGAGGUCGUGUUCCCCGAACGCACACGAAGCGGUGGCGCAGUACGUGCCGGUCAAGGAACGCCGGGCGCUGUUUGAAUCGUUAUCUCGACACGGUGGGAGUCUAGCUAGGAGUACCGAGCAGCUGACGCGACCCGUGGUCCCGUCUGAGACGACGCCCCGGCGUGCCGCGUCGCUGCACGACUUGCAGGCGCCGCCGACGCGAUCAGUGAGCGAUCUUCGCCAGUUCUUCGAGGCGGUAGCGCGAGGCGCGGGCCCCGGUUGCGGCACGAGCGCCCGGCACAGCGCUCCGCCCGAAGCCCUGCCCUCGCUGACGUGCGCGUGAUACACCGCACACACUCAGAUAUGUGUGCUUAGUGUGAGGUUUUUAACGUCCUCGAUAGCACAAACGUUCCAACUGCAUACAAAUUUUAGUUAACUUUUACGCUAUCGAGAACGUUAAAUAGCUCUCACUGAGCACAGUGUACAUAUUGUAAAAUGACGUUGUAGCUUUAGUUUAAUGCGUUGACCGCUAUUCUACUAAGUCGUUCGUUUUAAGACUGUUAAAAGUAUUGUUAUAAAAUCUAAUAUAAAUAAAAUGAAAUACAUUAUUGCCUA